GGGCGACCUGGCUGCGACAUCUGUCACACAUUGUUUGCCAGGGUUGUUUCGGCUGAUCGGGCUGGCUAGGCGGCUGUCCCCUUCCCCCC
ensembl:misc_RNA 7SK 7SK RNA